UCUUCCUUUGCUGCCUAAACAUGAAGUCACAGUUCAACAAUGAUCCUAGUGAAAAUCUUCUGAGUUUCUAAAUGCUUUAUGUAACAGUACCUAUGCAGAAUCAUAUAUUGUAUUCAGUGGAGGUGCUGAAGGAGGAGUCUGAUGACAGGGCAUUUUCCCUGAAGGCUACACUAUUUGGGAAUUCAUUUCCCCCUACUGGUCUGCCAGAGCUUGGAUUCAUUAACUUUUAGUAGGCUUCAAAGUCCAUCUUUUCUUGCAGCCGUUUAAGAAGGUUGGGAGUCCAUGGAAGGAGGAAUAAGGUGGAAGUAUUAUGAUGUAGUUGGGUAGAGUGGUGUGUGUUUCUUUGUGGUAGAAUCUACCAACUAGGAACUUGUAAAUGGAGACUUGAUUAUUUAAAGUAUUACACUGGGAAAGUGAUUUUUCUAAUGGGGUGUAUCUGUAGUGCAAGGUGCAUAGGCUUCUGGAUAUGUGCUAGAGAAAUACACAACUGUUGGAGCUUUCACCUGUCAUAUGCCCAUAAAUUGGCAUCUGGGUGUACAAAACUGAGCAGUGAUUAUUGCACAAUUCUAACUUACAAGAGAAACUCUUGUGCAGUCUUGCAACUGAAAAGCUCCUACUUGGAUCCUCACUCCACCUUCGAGUCGAAGUGUGGAAUGAUUGCUCUGAUGUCUGCUGUCCUGAGGCAAAGGUCCCCUAUGGGAUGGCUGUUCUGUGAUCCUAUGAGGGUGUGGUGAGGGCCUUGCUGCCAACAGACUGUUUUGACACUUUUCUUCAUGCCACCCCUGGGUAGGGUGCAUGUUUGAGCAGGCAUAGGGUAGAGUGUAGGUCUGAGUGUGGAACAACUGUUUU